rnacentral:rRNA from 1 species
AAGGUAGGGGCAAUAAAUCACAAUGCGGGGCUUUAUGUUUUGCAAUUGGAUUGAGAACAAAGUUCAAAUUUUAUCGAUAAACCCAUGGAGGGCAAGUCUGGUGCCAGCAGCCGCGGUAAUUCCAGCUCCAAUAGCGUAUAUUAACGUUGUUGCAGUUAAAAAGCUCGUAGUUGAAGUGAGGGAGUGUGUGUUCAUGAGAGCUAGUCUCGAGUGUUCACAACCUCCCCCCUCCAAUCGGUGUAGUGGGGUAUUCAGUUAUUUCACUACUCCUUUGGUCGUUUACUGUGAGAAAAUUAGAGUGUUCAAAGCGGGCGUUUGUUUGAAUAGAUUAGCAUGGAAUAAUGAUUGAAGGCUUUCGUGUUCGAUUUGAUUGGUUUGUUCAUGGAAGCAAGGUUAAAAGGAACAGUUGGGGGUAUUCAUAUUCACUAGUUAGAGGUGAAAUUCUCGGAUUUAUGGAAGAUGAACAAGGGCGAAAGCAA